UACGGGGGGGGCAAGCGUUGUUCGGAAUUACUGGGCGUAAAGGGCGCGUAGGCGGCCUGCUAAGUCGGAUGUGAAAUCCCUCGGCUCAACCGAGGAACUGCAUCCGAUACUGGCGGGCUUGAAUCCGGGAGAGGGAUGUGGAAUUCCAGGUGUAGCGGUGAAAUGCGUAGAUAUCUGGAGGAACACCAACGGCGAAGGCAGCUCGCUGGGACGGUACUGACGCUGAGACGCGAAAGCGUGGGGAGCGAACAGG
rnacentral:rRNA from 1 species